rnacentral:rRNA from 1 species
CCUACGGGGGGCUGCAGAGGGGAAUAUUGCACAAUGGGCGAAAGCCUGAUGCAGCGACGCCGCGUGAGCGAAGAAGGCCUUCGGGUCGUAAAGCUCUGUCCUAUGGGAAGAAAGAUAACGGUACCAUAGGAGGAAGCCCCGGAUAACUACGUGCCAGCAGCCGCGGUAAUACGUAGGAGGCGAGCGUUGUGGGGAAUGACUGGGCGUAAAGGGUACGUAGGAAGGUAGAUAAGUCAGAAGUGAAAGGCAUAGGGUUAACCUGUAUAAGCAUUUGAAACUGUCUAGAUUGAGUCAAGGAGAGGAAAGUGGAAUUCCUGGUGUAGCGGUGAAAUGCGUAGAUAUCAGGAGGAAUAGCAGUGGCGAAGGCGACUUUGUGGACUUAGACUGACGCUGAGGUACGAAAGCGUGGGGAGCAAACAGGAUUAGAUACCCUGGUAGUC